rnacentral:rRNA from 1 species
UCCUGGCUCAGGACGAACGCUGCGGCGUGCCUACACAUGCAAGUCGACGGGGUAAAGAGCUUCGGUUUUUUACUUAGUGGCGAACGGGUGAGUAACGCGUGAGAACCUGCCUUUCAGUGGGGGACAACAGUUGGAAACGACUGCUAAUACCGCAUAAUGUAUUUUGGGGGCAUCCCUGAAAUACCAAAGCUUUAUGUGCUGAAAGAUGGUCUCGCGUCUGAUUAGCUAGAUGGCGGGGUAACGGCCCACCAUGCGACGAUCAGUAGCCGGUCUGAGAGGAUGAACGGCCACAUUGGGACUGAGAUACGGCCCAGACUCCUACGGGAGGCAGCAGUGGGGAAUAUUGGGCAAUGGGGGAAACCCUGACCCAGCAACGCCGCGUGAAGGAAGAAGGCCUUCGGGUUGUAAACUUCUUUUAGUAGGGACGAAGAACGUGACGGUACCUACAGAAAAAGCAACGGCUAACUACGUGCCAGCAGCCGCGGUAAUACGUAGGUUGCAAGCGUUGUCCGGAUUUACUGGGUGUAAAGGGCGUGUAGGCGGAGAUGCAAGUUGGGAGUGAAAUCCCGGGGCUCAACCCCGGAACUGCUUUCAAAACUGCAUCCCUUGAGUAUCGGAGAGGCAAGCGGAAUUCCUAGUGUAGCGGUGAAAUGCGUAGAUAUUAGGAGGAACACCAGUGGCGAAGGCGGCUUGCUGGACGACAACUGACGCUGAGGCGCGAAAGCGUGGGGAGCAAACAGGAUUAGAUACCCUGGUAGUCCACGCUGUAAACGAUGAAUACUAGGUGUGGGAGGACUGACCCCUUCCGUGCCGCAGUUAACACAAUAAGUAUUCCACCUGGGGAGUACGGCCGCAAGGCUGAAACUCAAAGGAAUUGACGGGGGGCCGCACAAGCAGUGGAUUAUGUUGGUUAAUUCGACGCAACGCGAAGAACCUUACCAAGGAYUUGA